CAAAUUUAAUGUUUCAAACUUCACCUCAGUUUAUUAUUUUUCUUACAUUGUAUAGCCUCAAUUGUAUUUGUUAGCUUGUUAUAAUUUAAUGUCUAUUUUUGUUGAAUCUUGAUAUGCAAAAAAGAUACAAGUUCUUUUAAAAGUGCGUUCAAUGGAGAUUGAAGUGUAAACCAGAAAUUAAAGGUGCUCAUCUAAAGAAGAUAACCUCUGAAGCAUGACAAUUUAAAGCACGAGCCAAUGUUCAUCAUCAUCUUACUGGACUGGUCAUCAUUUACACGCGUCUUUUUAUAUUUAUUUUCAUCGCCAAAAGAGGAAAACUAAAAGACAAAACCUUGCUUCACUCACCGUAUGUUUGGUCUCAACGCUUCUAAAGUCAGCAGCUACAUCAUAUUUGGAUCCAAAUCUUUCAAAUUCAACAACUCAACUUUACCAAUUCUUAAUAUUCAUUUAAAUUUUUCUCCGUAAUUAUUAAAAGGGAAACUCAACUUUUUCUUGGACCGCACCAUAUUUUGAUUAUAAUUAAAUUGGCCACAAAUUUAUAUCGUUUUUAAUUCAUCUCCAUCAUCCAACAUCACCAUCAUGAUCGAAAGCUGCAAGUGUGAGAUUAUUACCAAAGUUGACCUUCUACAAUCUCAAUGGCAGGCCGUAAACGUUUUGUUUUUCAUUCACAUUUGCUAUAAAUAUUAUACAUAAUUACGGUCAGCUUGUCUGGACAGUUAAGAUUCCUGGCUGUUGACUCGACUACCAAUGAUGACGAUAGUGAUGGCGAUCAUGAAGACAAGUGAAGAUGAGCAGGAAAGAGAAAGAGAAAGAGCAAGAUGAAAAUCGGUAGAUUAGUUAAUUGGUCUUUAUCCUUAUUUAUCAGCAUCGUUAAAACCAAGGAACACAGCAUUUCCAUUAAGAAUGAUUCAAGACUUUUGUUUCACUUUUUUCCUAGUCCCUGAACCUUUAGUACUUUAUCAUCGUUUAACCUGACUUAAUUGAUCACAAUCAGCAGAUUAGAUUGACUGAUUAAAUUGCUGGACAGUUGUUGAAUGGUUAGUAACAAUUGAAUAUCUGAAUAGCAGAAAAAAAAGAAUCACAAUUAAUCGACUUUUCAAGGUUGGUUAAACCAUUUUUUUGGGGUAAAACUUUAUGACUUUCAAGCGGACAAAUUGUUCAUCUUUGACCAGCCAUUGUAAAUGUAAUUGAAUUGUAAUUGAAAUGCAAGUGGAAUCAUUUAGAUAAUUGAUUGUGGUUACAAAAUCAAUUGAAAUAAGCGAACCGCAAGACUUGAGUAACUGAAAAUAACAGCACAAACCAAGGUAACCUUUUUAGUCAACUAUGAUAAUGAUAAAUUGAUGUCAAAUAAUACAUAACCUUUAACCUGAAGACGUAAGUAGCAGCAACAAUAACGACUAGAAGAGCCUUCUGUGUGGCUU